rnacentral:rRNA from 1 species
GACGAACGCUGGCGGCGUGCCUAAUACAUGCAAGUCGAACGCUUUUUCUUUCACCGGAGCUUGCUCCACCGAAAGAAAAAGAGUGGCGAACGGGUGAGUAACACGUGGGUAACCUGCCCAUCAGAAGGGGAUAACACUUGGAAACAGGUGCUAAUACCGUAUAACACUAUUUUCCGCAUGGAAGAAAGUUGAAAGGCGCUUUUGCGUCACUGAUGGAUGGACCCGCGGUGCAUUAGCUAGUUGGUGAGGUAACGGCUCACCAAGGCAACGAUGCAUAGCCGACCUGAGAGGGUGAUCGGCCACACUGGGACUGAGACACGGCCCAGACUCCUACGGGAGGCAGCAGUAGGGAAUCUUCGGCAAUGGACGAAAGUCUGACCGAGCAACGCCGCGUGAGUGAAGAAGGUUUUCGGAUCGUAAAACUCUGUUGUUAGAGAAGAACAAGGAUGAGAGUAAAACGUUCAUCCC